UGGCGGACGGGUGAGUAAUGUCUGGGAAACUGCCCGAUGGAGGGGGAUAACUACUGGAAACGGUAGCUAAUACCGCAUAAUGUCUACGGACCAAAGCGGGGGACCUCCGGGCCUCGCGCCAUCAGAUGAACCCAUAUGGGAUUAGCUAGUAGGUAAGGUAACGGCUUACCUAGGCGACGAUCCCUAGCUGGUCUGAGAGGAUGACCAGCCACACUGGAACUGAGACACGGUCCAG
rnacentral:rRNA from 1 species